UGUCACCUGCCUCCCUCCACCCCCAAGGGUAAAAAUAACCUUGUCUGAAACCUGACACCUACCCUCUGCAGGUCAUCUUGAGAACUACCCCUGUCCCAGAGGUGACCACCAGGGGCCUGGGGGAGUAGGGAGGGCAUUUCCUGAAUGCUUUCCCAUUCACAUCUCAUUUGACCCACGAGCAAAUAUGUGAGGUGCUAUCACUGGUGAGGAACACAGGGAACCCGCGCUCAGAGACAUCUCGAGUCCUGCCUAAGGUCCCCAGCCAGAGCUUGAGCGCAGCCCUUUCCUCGGCACUACGAGGUAUUGUCAGGCCUGCAGGGAGCGGGGAGUGUGGGCAAGCCCGAGCCCCGCCCUCACAGAGCCAAGGUCCAGAUGGGGAGACAGCCACUGAACAAGAAGUUCCCUAGGAGAUCUGCUGUGCCAAGGGUCAGCAGGGCUGCAGAGUGUGAGCAGAGUCUGACCCUGUGUGCAGAUGGACAGGAACCUGCAGGACACGGGUCAGGCUGGGUGGCCCUGCGUUCAGCUCCUCCAUAUUGUUCGGGCGCUGCCCUGCAGCAUGCCCAGAACUAACAACCUAACAGGAGCAAGUGUGUCAACCUCUCCGGACUCAGCUUCCUCAGUUUAUAAAACUGAAAGUUGUGGGUGUGCAGGUGAACACAUCCUCUCUACCAAGACAGAAUUCAUUGGUUCGCGGUUCAUUUCAACCGACAAUCAAGAUGUUGAAUAGGACAGAGUCUGUGGCACUCCACGAAGACUCCCACAGACGCCCACAUACAGUCUAACCAGACUCCACGCCUGCUGGGAAGCCUUUGCAUUUCGCAGGCCCCUGAGAGGCUCAAGACACCUCAUGAGGGAAAUGGAUUCUUGGGAUAGAAGGCAACGAUCACUAGAAAGCAGCUCGGGUUCACUGAGAACAAGGCACGCUGGGCACACAGGAGCAGACCAUUGGGUUAGGAAUGGACAUAAUUUGCAUUUGCAUAGACCCAGAACAUUAUAAGUGCUCAGUAAAAAUGUGUUCAAUGGAACCUGGGAGCUGUCUCCAACUAUGUACCACAUGUACCUGCUCCAUUCAACAUGUGAUCAAAUGGCUUACCUGAACACACACCUGAUCCUAGAUGACCACUUGAAAGGUUGUAAAAUAUAAACUUAAAACCAAGCAGAUGAAAAUGAAAAAGACUCAUUCUAUCAACCUGCAUUUAGGCUUUUCUGUUGCUAUCACUUUUUAAGUUGUACGCAUGCUGGGGUGGCUCCAGUUUAAUAGUUGUUUACGGGAAAACAGCCUUAUUAUUUCAUCUGUCCACACACUUAACAAUGACAAUUCCUGCUGUAACCAAACGGGCACCCUGUAGCUGCUGAAGGCUUCAC